UUGGAGAUCCAUCAUAGACCAUCUUCUGACUCAGAAAAAGACAAUGUUCAAAGACUUGAUGAGCAUGCAGAGCAGUUCUUUGAAGCUCUUCAACAGUGCUGAGCAGAAGCAUAUGUUACUAAAAAGACAGGCUUUUGCCAUGUUUAGUGGAGAGAAUGACCAGUACCACUUCUAUUUGCCUCUCAUACAAGAGCAUCUAACAGAGAACCUGCGUGCAGGACAGACCCCAUCAGUGUCAGCUCAGAUGUUCCUCAUGUUUCGUGUUCUCCUGUUAAGGAUCUCACCGCAACAUCUCACCUCUCUCUGGCCAAUCAUGGU